GGAAGGACAAGCCAAAGGGUGAUGGCAUCCGGCCCGAACCCGGACGAGCGACGAGCCUUGAGGGUUCGACUCCCUCUCCUUCCG
rnacentral:tRNA from 1 species